GUGCUCGCUUUGGCAGCACAUAUACUAAAAUUGGAAUAUUACAGAGAAGAUUAGCAUGGCCUUAUGCAAAGAUGACAUGAAAAUUCAUGAAGCAUUCCAUGUUUUU